CUAGCAUCAUUUUUGUGAACAAUUAUGCGUAAAUUGUAGGUGUAUAAAUACGUUAAGUCUAAUGAAGUAAAGACGGUUCGUGUUUAUAAUUGUUUUGUUAAUGGAUUGAAAGACUUAUCAAUGCGUACUUUCUACAACAAGUUAAUAGAGUGCUCCGGGCAAACUUAGGAAUGCUCUAGCGAAAUGCGGAUUAUGGUGAUUGCAAUGAAUGCUAAUGAUUGCGGUACAUGUUUUAGGCUCUAAAAAGACUUGAUUCACUUAUUUAUGUGUCAACCAUGAGUAAACGACGCCGAACGAGUUCGUUUCAAGAUGAUGAAGAUACUGAGGACGAUGUCACUCCGGAGCAAAGCCCAGCCUCAAGCUCAAGCACAAGAAAGAAAAAAAAUAGAUCCGAUGGAACUUUGCCAACAACUGUACGAAUCAAUUCGCAAUUUUAAAAAGGAGGAUGGCUCAACGCUGUGCGAUACUUUCAUAAGAGCUCCAAAACGACGGCAAGAACCUUCUUACUACGAAGUAGUGGCGAAUCCGAUUGAUUUACUGCGUCUGCAACAGAAAUUGAAGACAGAUUCUUAUGAAGAUGUUGACGACUUGGCCACGGAUAUUGAACUAAUCGUAAACAAUGCUAAAGCCUUCUACAGUUUCAAGAUGCAUGUCAACUCUUGGAGGUAUUCAAUACGAACCGAAAGCGAAUUGUGGACAAUCAGAUAGAAGAGGGUAGUUUGGAAAUUCGGCCACGAAAAAUAACUCGUCCGCGUAAGUCCAUCACUGCAGAAGAUGAUGACUCGGAUGAAGGACUAGAUUUUGAUCCCUAUCAGGAGCUUUUUGCUACGGUUAUGACAGCAACCGACCCGUUUGGUAAUCACGAGCUGCAUCCUAUGUUUCAGCUGUUACCAUCAAAGAAACUAUAUCCUGGUUAUUACGACAUAAUUGAUCAUCUAAUCGACUUAAAGUUUAUUGCUACUAAAAUCCAAACGAGUGCCUAUUCGAGUCUCAACGAAAUGGACAAAGAUCUUUUGCAAAUGACGAAGAACGCCUGCACUUUUAACGAGCCUGGUUCGCAAAUUUAUAAGGAUGCAAAAAUGCUGAAAAAAAUGUUUAUGGCUCGAAAGGCAGACAUUGAAUCGGGGCGUUAUAAAGAGCCUGCGUCGAAAAGAACACGAUCCAAUUCAAGUGCCAGCCUUGCACUUGAAUGGUUGCAGUCUUGAAAGAAGAAAUUGAAAGCUCCGAUGAUGAUUUAGACGAUUCGAGGGAAACAGAAGGGGAUGGUCCACUUUGGCAGUUGUUUGAUCAGCUGUACAAUACGGCCAAUAGUAAUGGUUCAAAAUUGUCCCACAUAUUAUUUUAAUGUGUUUUUUAAGUUCAUGUAUCGAUCACCGUGCGUUUGUUCGUCAUGUUGGUUUUGUUUUGUGUGAAUUUUUUAAUUCCAUCGUUUGCUGAAUUUAAUGAAUUCAUACAGAUCCUAAUGCUAUAGGUGCCUCAUUGGGUGAAUCAUUAUGGAAGCUGCCGAACAGCCGAUUCCAUAUGGAAUAUUACACGCUGAUAAAAAACCAAACCCGGAAAAAAAUGUAUUUGUGUGCGAAUCUCGCUACAGCUCAAAGGCGCGAUCGUUUUAAAAACUGAAAACUUUUAAUCUGACGAGGUCAUUUGAUCCCGUUAAGUUGAUUCCGCGUUAAACACCUCUCGUCGUUAAGCGAGUUAUGUCCGUAUUUAAAGAGCGUGUUGAAAACAUAAGGAAGAGCUAUCGAAAAUCACAGCUUCAAGAAGCAAUCUCAGAGAAGGAGAAACUGAAUGUUGUUGUUUACAUGAACGAUUCGGAGGAUGGCAAAUGGCAACGUAUACUAUGAACAGUACAACACUGUUUGUGGAGGUGUAAUUAAAACCGGUGAUUAUGUGUACGUCGCAACGGAGUCCGGAAAACAGUCGAUUUCUCAAAUUACAUCUAUUUGGGAAACCCGAGAUGGAAAAUCGUUGUUUCGCGGACCGUGGCUUCUUACGCCCUCGGAAGUUCCUGGUACCAUAUGUCGCUUAUUCUAUCGACAGGAAGUGUCAGGAACAUUCAGGAAAUAACAUCCACUGUGGCAAUCGUUGGUAGAUGUGUAGUUCUCGAUCAGAACGAAUAUAUAAGCCGGCGACCAACUGAAAUUGCCAAAUCGGAUGUGUACAUGUGUGAAUCGAUUUUUGAUGAAUUCAAAAAGCAGAUAAGAAAAAUAGUUGCUCCAUCAGGAUUGCGUAAGUUUACUCAUAGUCAGAUGGUAACAACGGACGAAGUUUAUCAUUUCUAACGCCCAAAAAACCCUCCAAAGGUUACUGGAAGAGAGAUAGCAGCUGUACAGGACAACAAACCGAACACGGCCAAUGAUGUGAUGCCAAAAAAUCAUCGUACACUUGUCUGUCCUGUGUACACCUGAAUCUUACAGGACAUGAAGGACGAGUUUGUCAUUAUCGAUGAUUCGAUCGAUGGUCCUUCGUCGAUUGGUUCAGAUACGGCGCUGACGGCAUAGCCUCUUCCAUCACAUACGGAUUAUAGCAGCACUGUAACGGCCACUAGCAGAAAAGCUUCAAAAGCGGGUAAAAAACUGGUCACUGGCUACAUAAUCUACUCGAGUGAACACCGGAAAACAAUCUGCGUCAGUAAUCCGGAAGCGACAUUUGGUGACGUGUCGCGCAUUGUCGGAAACGAGUGGCGUAAUUUGAGUGAUCAAGAGAAGACCGUAUGGGAGCAGAGAGCUAUCAAAAUCAAUGAAGAAAGUGCAGCAAAGUGCGGCGGAAAUGGGAGAAUCAAGCUGCCCAAGCCCAGCUACCGUUAAGACAGAGGGCCUGGUCGUCCCAAUCAUGAAUGUUGUAGGCUAACACAGGCGUCAAUCUAACGACCGUUUCUAACGAGCGAAAGAUUGCCCAGAAGCCGUGGUCAAUGCUCUUUGGCAACUACGAAAUUUCAUGAUGAAGGAAGUUAUUCAGUUUGAUCGAUUUUAGUGGUGCAGGUAUGUUAGAGACUAAAUUUCUUUCUUAUUAAACAGAUAAGAUCGAGGAGUAUGGAACUUUGGUUUUAUUCAUACAUUUAUGCCUGUGUACGUAUGUAGUACAUAUUUUUUAUGCAUUUAAUAAGACAUUUGAAUUUUGUCUAACAUUAAAUGUAUAUGAAAAUAUGAGUGGAACAAGUAAAAAUUACAACCUAGACCGAAUAGCUUGAUUCCAUUCUACGGUGGUGCUGAUUUCUAUAACUUCUUUUGCACAACCCCAACACAGCGUCACUCCGCAACCUCCGUGGCCGUAAUUGUGAAUAACAGGCACCGACCUAUUGCCUAAGAAUCAUGAAAAGUAUAUCGUUAUUGUCAGUUACAGUAUAAUGUAGUUCUGUGCGUAGUAGUUAAAUGAUUAAUGUUCAAACAUUUAUUGCGGAAUAUUAAAGUUGAGUACAA